AACUAGUUUGGUUAUGGCAACUCAAAGCACCCCACCUGUCUCUCUACCACGUCCCUCCAAGUCCAACAACCCAAACCCGUACCCGCUCUCCCCAACUGUCAAUAACGACCGGUAUCCAAUACAAUCACUGAUCAACCAAUGCAACAGUACGAAGCAGCUAAAGCAAGUCCAUUCCCAAAUGCUCCGUACAGGUCUGUUCUUCGACCCUUUUUCAGCCGGCAAGCUCAUCACUGCCUCUGCUCUCUCACCCUUCUCUAGCCUCGACUACGCCCGCCAGGUGUUCGAUCAAAUUCCUCAACCAAAUCUUUUUACUUGGAACACUUUCAUUCGUGCUUAUGCAUCCAGCCGACCCCACUCAGAGCCUUCUAGUCUUUCUGCAACUGCUUCAUCACUGUGAACAUUUUCCUGACAAAUUCACUUUUCCUUUCCUGAUCAACGCGGCUUCGGAGCUCAAAGCUUUUCGGGUUGGGAGAGCGUUUCACGGGAUGGUGAUUAAAGUGUCGCUUAGUUCGGAUGUCUAUAUUCUGAAUUCACUCGUGCAUUUUUAUGGUUCGUGUGGGGAUUUGGAUUUGGCGUAUGCGGUGUUUGUGAAAACUCCACAAAAAGAUGUGGUUUCUUGGAAUUCUAUGAUCACUGCUUUUGCACAAGGUGGUUGUCCUGAGGAGGCAUUGGAGUUAUUUAGGGGAAUGGAGAAGGAGAAUGUGAAGCCGAAUGAUGUGACAAUGGUGGGUGUUCUUUCGGCUUGCACGAAGAAGUUGGAUUUGGAGUUUGGGAGGUGGGUGUGUUCCUAUAUUGAAAGGAAUGAGAUUAAUGUGAACUUGACUCUGAGUAAUGCAAUGCUGGAUAUGUAUAUGAAAUGUGGGAGCUUUGAAGAUGCAAAAAGAUUGUUUGAUAAGAUGCAAGAGAAGGAUAUUUUCUCUUGGACAACUACGCUUGAUGGAUAUGCUAAGUUAGGGGAAUAUGAUGAGGCUCGACAUGUUUUUGAUGCAAUGCCUAGUAAAGAUAUAGCUGCAUGGAAUGCACUGAUUUCUGCUGUUGAACAAAAUGGGAAGCCAAAGGAGGCUUGGCUGUUUUUCGUGAAUUGCAGCUCAGUAAGGAUGCAAAACCGGAUGAGGUCACUCUUGUUUGUGCUCUAUCAGCUUCUGCUCAGUUAGGAGCAAUGGAUUUAGGCAGGUGGAUCGAUGUGUACGUAAAGAAGCAUGGGAUUAAGUUAAAUUGUCAUCUCACAACCUCUCUUAUUGACAUGUAUGCUAAGUGUGGGGAUCUAAAGAAAGCACUUGAGGUAUUUUAUUCAGCAGAAAGAAAAGAUGUGUUUGUUAGGAGUGCCACCAUUGCUGGUCUGGCAAUGCAUGGCCAUGGGAGGGCUGCAUUAGAUUUGUUCUCAAAGAUGUUAGAAGCCAGGGUCAAGCCCAAUUCUGUGACUUUCACCAAUGUAUUAUGCGCCUGUAGCCACACAGGAUUAGUAAACGAGGGACAAAGGUUAUUCUAUCAAAUGGAGCCAGUUUAUGGGGUUGUUCCUGGAGAGAAGCAUUACGCUUGCAUGGUUGAUAUUCUUGGCCGUUCAGGCCUUCUGCAAGAAGCUGUCAAAUUGAUAGAGAAAAUGCCCAUACUUCCUACCGCUUCUGUAUGGGGGGCUCUGCUUGGGGCCUGUAGACUUCAUGGGAAUAUUGAGCUUGCUGAGCAGGCUUGUAGCCGUUUGCUUGAGUUGGACCCUAGAAAUCAUGGAGCCUAUGUGCUUUUGUCGAACAUAUAUGCUAAAACAGGGAAAUGGGAUAGAGUUUCAGGGUUAAGGAAGAUUAUGAGAGAUUUUGGACUAAAGAAAGAACCAGGUUGUAGUUCAAUUGAGGUCAAUGGAAUUGUUCACAAGUUUAGUUUUUUGACUCAUUUUAUGUUAUUAAUGUAGAGAUUUUUUCAUUCAAUAGACUCUCGAAUUACUAGAGCAUUGAAGACAUUUCAUCUAGUAUAAAAGAUGUCAAAUUAAGGAGCAUUGCCAUACAUUUACAUGUG